AAAAUACGAAAAAGAAAGGAAAAGGGCUGGCGCGUGCGGCAUGAGACGAAACGAGGCAAAUAGGAUCAACGAACUUUGAAUCAGGGUGCCAAGUGAAAAAAUUGUAGAAAACAAAAUCUAUCCACACUUUCUCGCUCAUAUUUGCUGGAUUAAAUCUCGUCCAAAAGCAAAUUUGAAUCCCCUCAUCUGAGAAAAGAAGUGAAAAAAAUGGAGAGCGUAGUUGUCUCUCAAUUUCUCAUUCUUCUCAUCGCCUCUCAUCUUCGCUUUACUUCGUCUUUAAAUCGGUGAAAACUAAAUUUUAUUUCCAUUUUAUUUUUGGGGUUCGCUUUUGUAUUAAACCAGGUCUUUUGGUGGAUUUCGAGGUAAAUACUUUAAAAAUCUGAAUUAAUCCGUCAUAAUCGUGCUAUAGACUGAGACAAUGGCGCUUCAGGUUCUCCUGACUUUCUCUGCUAUGUACUCGACAUCAAACACGUUAAGUGAUAACGAACAAUAUGGUAUCAUGGUAUCAACAAUGUAGCUACUUCUUUUGAAGUGUAUGGAAUAAAAUUUGGCCUGUUUUUUUUAGUAACAUUCAUCGCUUUAGAUGUUGCUGUGAGCACCGAUGAUAUGUACUUUUGUCCUUGAGUAGUGAACUUUCCUAGAUUUUCAUGGUGAAAUAGAUAAUGUGCCAUAUUUUACUUUUAACUUCUCCAUAUACUUGGUAUUCUUUUGAUAGGUCUUGAGAACGUCUCAAGAUCAGGUUCCGUAGCAGGUUCUGGAUGCCAAGUCAUAGAUUCAUGAAAUGGACAAUUGAAAGCCUUCAAUAUUCUGGGUUUCAAUGAGAACAGAAUAAAAUGAACUAGUUUAAGCUAGUGCGCGUCUUUGUUAUUUUGACACUUACAAGGACCCUUCACUGUUACGGCUCUAUCUUUACAGAACUCGUACGAUUCUUUUUCAUUAUGGAUUUCCUGCGGUAUGUUUGAAAUAUUAUCUACAUGCAGGUUUCGCAUUGAUAUUUUUUAUCUCACAAUCAACCAUUAUGUUGGGGUGCUUUUUAAAGCUAGAUUCAUCUUGGUUCUGGAUGACUCUCGAGUUAUUUUCAAUUGAUUCAUUUUUUCCUUUACGUGUAGAUUGCACUCAAAGGUUUGCUGCAACUUUUGGUCCUUCAUGGUAUUGUAUGAGUCAUUUAGCUGGAUAUUUGAAGUUCUGGUCGCUGAGAAAUAAAUCAAUAACUGCAUUUGGCCUAGGCUUCUGUCCUGGCGCAGUCACAUGUUUUGAGCUCAUGUGGAAUUGAUGCGCUACCAAGCUCUACCACACCAAUUGGUUGGCUAAGCAGAAUGAUUCAGUUUAAAGAGAAAUCUCGCAAGCUGCGUUAACAGGAGAAGAAUUUGGCUGGCAUCUGAUAAACUUCUUUAGAAAUCAUCAUUGAGCAUCACCCCAUAUGCUUAGGUGCUGACAACGUUUUCCUCUUGUUCCUCUGUAAUGGUUCUGCAGAGAUGAAAAUGUUGGAGUUGCUUUAUUGACCUAUCCUGUUCUGAUGCCUUCUGAUAUUCUUUAGUAAUAGGUGGUUCUGGGAACACGAGUAUCAUCUUUUAUUUGAGCAUGUCUAACAACUUUGAUAGUUUGAAUAUCUUAUUUGGAAAAUGCUGAUGAUAUUUUGAUAAAGUGAUUUGAAGAUGCAUGAUUCAUACACAAUUGCGGCAUGCAUCUGCAGUCUGUUUUUGUCCCAGUUGGUGCAGAUCAGAAGCAGCAGUUGGAGUUGACUCAUCAGUUGGCUGAUCGUGUUAACUAUUUAUGUGAUGGAAGAAAGUGGAAAAAGCUGGGAUGGUUGUAGCAAACGAGAUGAAGUGUUGCAAGACCGACACAUUUCUGGUGUUAAUUCCUAGGCUAUGUUUUCCUUCUAUUUCCAUUUCUAUUUUCUUGUCUACUUAUUUCUCUAUAUGACAACAGAAUCUAAUGUGAAGUUCUCCCAUAUAUAGUCUUGUUUGUGGCAAUUCUUGUAGCCUGGAAUUGACAAUCCUGAACAUCCUGAAUGCAACAAUCUUUCUUUCAA